rnacentral:rRNA from 1 species
UACGUAGGGUGCAAGCGUUAAUCGGAAUUACUGGGCGUAAAGCGUGCGCAGGCGGUGAUAUAAGACAGAUGUGAAAUAUCCGGGCUUAACCCGGAGGGGUCAUUUGAAACUGUAAGACUAGAGUACAGCAGAGGAUAGCGGAAUUCCCGGUGUAGUGGUGAAAUGCGUAGAUAUCGGGAGGAACACCAGUGGCGAAGGCGGCUAUCUGGGCUGAAACUGACGCUGAGGCGCGAAGGCUAGGGGAGCAAACAGG